GCAAGAAACUAUGUGCUAUUUUGCAUGUCUGAGAUGGAGACUAAGGUGCUGCAUCCUAGAAAGUGUGAACCAGCAAGGUUUACAUUGUACAGUUAGCAGCAUCAAGGCUACAACACGUGGACAAGCAACCAUUGUCAAUGACAACAUUGAUCAAGCAUGUCAUAACCUGCCAGAUAAAAUAGUGACAUAAUUGAACAUGGCCAGCAUUCUGUUCUGCUGACACCUUCUUUAGUAUAACAUGUUUUUAAUGGAUGAAAAAUUAAAGAAAUUGGAAAAAAAUAAUGUGGUUCCAUGCUCACAAUUUCCCUGUGACUUAUUUUUAAAUCACAUCGCCUUUUAUCAGAAAUUGCAUUGCAAGUUGCAGAUUUACUAGAGGAGGGGGGUGGGUGCACCCUCCAAGCCCUGACAGGAGGGGGUGCUUUUUUCAUGAUAAAGCAAAAAAUAAUAGACAAAAUGAGAUACAGUAAUUUGAGCAAUAACAUGAUGAUAAGCAAACUGUGAAGUUGUGAACAACAAUUACAAUUCAAUUACAGUAUGUUGAUUGGUGAGCGGCACACAUGACCGAGACAACUCUGCACCAGAGCUGGGAGAGCAGCCCCCUACCCGAUCAUGCUGGAUCGAUCCCUGUAUUAUUUACAUGGAAGUGAAUCUCUUUUGGUGGCGUAAAGACAUAUUUUUUGUCAAUUUUCAAGUGAAAUCCAAAUUUUUAGAUGGCUGUCUAAAAUGUUAGUCAGCUGGAUCGAGCAGAUGCAGUAGAAUAAUCUUGAGCAUAACAUCUAACAUAAUACAGCAACAAUAUAAAUUGUAUAACUUUGUUUGAUUUAUAAUUAUUGAAAAUAAACACUUCUUACAUUUGGGCAACUUGCACAAUAGUUGCUUGCAAAUUUGUGUCACAGAACAGUCAGCACUAUUAAUAAAGCAGUUUACAACUUUACAUAGUUUACAUGCUGUACAUGUACUCAACAAAUUCCUGAGAUAUUUCUCGCUAACGAGUAACAUACAGCGUAAAAACACAUGGGAUUGUAAAUUCGAAAUUUGUUCUUUGCUGAAAGAUCUCAAAAUUGUCAGUGUACACAAACCAGUUUCAAUAUCAUGUCCACUAAAUUAUAUAACAGUAAUCGACAAUUCCAAGAGGCAAGAACAUCCAUUAUCCAGUUGAAAUUUUGACAUUUACCACUCCAUCUGCCUUCUAGAGUAUUCCGUUUCGCAAGAGUAUUAAUAUUUGAUGUUAUAUGCAUGUAGGAUACAGACCAAAUAUAAUAUAAAUUGAACGAUUGCAAAAAUUCUUAUAAAUUCCAUUCACACUUCGUCGAUCGAUACGAUUUACAUAGUUUCGGCGUGGUUUGACCAUCUGAAUUUCGUUAAAUUGCGGUCCAUUCGUUGUAAGUGCAAAAUAAUCAAUGUUUCAUUCAUAUUUGUAACAAUUUGCAACAUAAAAAUGAUAUUCUCGAUCGAUAUUUUUUCGAAUUGUGUCUGAAUAUAAAAAGAUCGUAUCCUAUGGGAGUAGGGG